rnacentral:tRNA from 1 species
AGCUGUAUGGCCGAGUGGUGAGGUGAAAGUCUGCAAAACUUUUUACGUCGGUUCGAAUCCGACUGCAGCGUCAA